rnacentral:tRNA from 1 species
GCUAUUUUGGCAGAUAAUAUGCAUUAGAUYUAGGAUUUAAUUAUAUAGUAGAGUCUAUAAAUAGUAAAGUAAUUUUUUAAAGCUAAUUAUUUU